rnacentral:rRNA from 1 species
AGGACGAACGCUGGCGGCGUGCUUAACACAUGCAAGUCGAGCGGAAAGGCCCUUCGGGGUACUCGAGCGGCGAACGGGUGAGUAACACGUGAGCAACCUGCCCUCAGCUCUGGGAUAGCUCCCGGAAACGGGAAUUAAUACCGGAUACGACCCCGACCGACAUCGGUCAGGGUGGAAAGUUUUUCGGCUGAGGAUGGACUCGCGGCCUAUCAGCUAGUUGGUGGGGUAACGGCCCACCAAGGCGACGACGGGUAG